rnacentral:lncRNA from 1 species
AAAGAAAAAAAAAUACAUGGAACAUCACAUAAACGUACACAUGAUUGACGAGCUCCGGAGAGAAUAAGUAAAUCCCAGGUAAGACAAGUAAAUAGACAAUUGUGUAAAAACAAAGUAUUGUUUACUACAUAAACUGUCAUAGAAAUAUUGUUCUUCAAGCGGAUAAUAUACAGUUGGACAUAGAUUUAAUAAAUCCCAAUAUUGG